rnacentral:lncRNA from 1 species
UUUGGAGCUUGGUCGUUUGGAGGGCAGUGGGGUUUGAGAUGUUGGUCGAGGGGGGUCGAUGACGGGUUAUGGAGGAUUGAUGGGGUUCUUUUUAGAGGUGGUUCAACGGGAAUGGAUAUGGGGUGUAAGGGAUGAAGCAGCAUGGGCAGGGGGGCUAUUUGGUGAAGGAGGAACAUCUGGGGUGGUCGUUUGGUGCAGUGGAACGGGAAAAUGGGGGUCGACGUGGGUGGCAGCUGGAGG